rnacentral:rRNA from 1 species
CGUAAAAAGCUCGUAGGCGGUGUGUCGCGUCGGCCGUGAAAACCUGGGGCUCAACUCUGGGCGUGCGGUCGAUACGGGCAUCACUGGAGUUCGGCAGGGGAGACUGGAAUUCCUGGUGUAGCGGUGAAAUGCGCAGAUAUCAGGAGGAACACCGGUGGCGAAGGCGGGUCUCUGGGCCGAUACUGACGCUGAGGAGCGAAAGCAUGGGUAGCGAACAGGAUUAGAUACCCUGGUAGUCCAUGCCGUAAACGUUGGGCGCUAGGUGUGGGGUCCAUUCCACGGGUUCCGUGCCGCAGCAACGCAUUAAGCGCCCCGCCUGGGGAGUACGGCCGCAAGGCUAAAACUCAAAGGAAUUGACGGGGGCCCGCACAAGCGGCGGAGCAUGCGGAUUAAUUCGAUGCAACGCGAAGAACCUUACCAAGGCUUGACAUGCACCGGACGACUGCAGAGAUGUGGUUUCCCUUUGUGGCUGGUGUGCAGGUGGUGCAUGGUUGUCGUCAGCUCGUGUCGUGAGAUGUUGGGUUAAGUCCCGCAACGAGCGCAACCCUCGUUCCAUGUUGCCAGCGGGUUAUGCCGGGGACUCAUGGGAGACUGCCGGGGUCAACUCGGAGGAAGGUGGGGAUGACGUCAAAUCAUCAUGCCCCUUAUGUCUUGGGCUUCACGCAUGCUACAAUGGCUGGUACAGAGGGCUGCAAUACCGUGAGGUGGAGCGAAUCCCUUAAAACUGGUCUCAGUUCGGAUUGGGGUCUGCAACUCGACCCCAUGAAGUCGGAGUCGCUAGUAAUCGCAGAUC